CUGGCAGCCGCCUUGGAACUCUGUGGUGGCAUUCGCGUCUGCGAGCUCCGGAGUGACUUUCCCUUCCUGUGAAGGCAAUCCGGCCCUUUCCGGUGGAGGACCCUUCCCCCUGGGUUGAUCUUGAGGAACUUAAGAGACGGUGUUUUGACUCGACUCCUUUCCCCUUUUUCCUCCCGGCAGAACUUGCUGAAACUCCAACCUCUGGAAAUUACUGGAACCCUGCAUUCUAGAACUUGCUGGAAACCCACCCUCUGGAAUUGGCCUGCUAGAGUGCCUGAGAAGGAUGUUCAUAGGGAAAUGUUUCAGCAGAGGAACUCUACUACAAAAACCACAAGAGGGAGGGUGCCAGGGGAAGUGGCCUGGUGCUAUUGAAACUGCAACACAGAAGCCAGCCACUGGAGAGAGCUGCACAAGCUGCAGGAACACCCUACCCAGUAAGCCGGCCAGAAGGAGGGAGCAAAACCUUUUCUCUCUGCAACAUCUUUCCAGUUUCCUCUACUGGAAAAGCUUCAUUGCCAGCUGACAAAAGGAAAAAUACUUAAAUGGAUCAGAUCCAUUUUCACAGAGCAGUCAAUAAUGGUGAAUUUGGAGAUGAUAAGCAACAAAUUGAUGAACUGGCACAACUUCCCUGCUACUUUCUUGAUUGUAAUGCCUAGAUAGGGAAUAGGAAAGUUAUUGAAAUGUAUGUGUUCCCAUGAAAUGUGUUUAUUUGUUGUUCAAGAUCAAUACUAAUAAAUGGGGACUAAUGUUCUGAAGUAUUUUGGAACAAUUAGAAUCACCACUCUUAACCCUGUGGCCAAAGUCUUAAAUGGACAGGGAGGAAAAUGUUUAUAAACUGAAGCAAAAAUUGAUCUACAUAGAAAAUAAAUCUGGAGUAUUUACUUGGUAGGUAUACUAGUUUCCUAGGGCUGCCAUAACAAGUUAUUACAAACUGGGUGGCUUAAAACAACAGAAAUUUGUUCUCUCACAGUUCUAAAGGCCAGAAAUCCAAAAUCAAGGUGUUUGCCAAAGCCAUGCUCUAGGGGAGAAUCCUUUGCUUCUUCCAGCUUCUGGUGGCUCCUGGCAUUACUUGGUUUGUGAGAGCAUAAUUCUAAUGUCCGCUUCUACCUUCAUAUGGCCUUCUUUCAUAUGACAUGUCAAAUCUUCCUCUCCUUUUUCUUAUAAGGACACCAGUCAUUGGAUUUCAGGCUCACCCUUAAGCCGGGAUGAUCUCAUCUCCAGAACCCUAACUUAAUUACAUCCACAAAGACCCUAUUUCUAAGUAAGAUCAUAUUCACGAGUACUGGG
rnacentral:lncRNA from 10 species